rnacentral:ncRNA from 2 species
GUAAGAAUCUAAUAAACAACUCGUAUAUCCCUUGGAUUGGCAAGGAGUUUCUACCGGAAGCCGUAAAUUUCCGACUAUGAGUGAUUUUUAUGUAUAU